rnacentral:lncRNA from 1 species
UAAAGCUUAAAGUCUAUUCAUUUACAAAAGCUACAAUGUGUCGUUAUAUGAAUUCAAACAGCUUAAAGUUAUGCAUCUUGACUCAAAUUUAACAACUUACCUGUCUGCACAUAUCUAAGUAGAAUAUGUAUAAAUUAAAAUACAAAGAGUUACAUAUUUGUACAAUUUCAAACAGAAUACAUUGCAUGAACUGAAACUGAAUAUGGAAAACAAGGAAAUAAUAUAUGUACUCAAAAUACAGGCAAAUCUCCAAAAUAGCAUCUUUCUAAGUUUAUAUCAUAAAAAUAGCACUCCAAAACUAAAAUGACCAAAAUAGCAUCUUUCUAAGUUUAUCCUUUGAAAAUUUUAAUUUUUUUAUUUUUCAAAAUUUGAAAUCUUAUCCCCAAAACCUCAUUUCUCAACUCUAAACCCUAAAUCUUAAACUCUAAACCCUAAACCCUAAAUCCUAAACCCUAAACCCUAAACUCUAAACCCUAAACCCUAAACUCUAAACUCUAAACGCUAAACCCUAAAUCCUAAACCC